rnacentral:rRNA from 1 species
ACCUGCCCUCAGCUCUGGGAUAACUCCAAGAAAUUGGGGCUAAUACCGGAUAUGACUGCUGACCGCAUGGUCUGGUGGUGGAAAGAUUUAUCGGCUGGGGAUGGGCCCGCGGCCUAUCAGCUUGUUGGUGGGGUAGUGGCCUACCAAGGCGACGACGGGUAGCCGGCCUGAGAGGGUGACCGGCCACACUGGGACUGAGACACGGCCCAGACUCCUACGGGAGGCAGCAGUGGGGAAUAUUGCGCAAUGGGCGAAAGCCUGACGCAGCGACGCCGCGUGGGGGAUGACGGCCUUCGGGUUGUAAACCUCUUUCAGCAGGGACGAAGCGAAAGUGACGGUACCUGCAGAAGAAGCACCGGCCAACUACGUGCCAGCAC